CUCUCUCUCUCUCUCUCUCUCGAUGCGCGCGCGCACACGCACACAGGAACGUCGGUCAAAGAUGACGGACGGCAAACAUGCCAUUCGUGGCCCUCCCGGCUGGGUCGCUGCGUCCCCUGCGCUUUUUUGGCUGAAAAGAAGCAUCUUUUCCAUCCAAGUGUCGCAUUUCACCCUCCAAAUCUUUUUAUGUUGAAGAAAAUGCUGCUCUCACUCUCUUCCGUCGAAGCUAGUGGAGCUUCCAACGUUCCUGCUGCUGCUGCUCUGUUUUAUUCUCUUUCUCUCACCUGCUGAUGCCAGGAAGAUAUUUCGGUCUUUGAGGUGCCAACUUUUGUCUGCAAGCCAACCUUUUGCCAACAGGUAAACAGUGUCUUGUGGAGUGGUUUUUCUUCAUCGCUGUUGUUUUGGGUCUCUCCAGCAUCUGUUCUGAACUCUCCCCGUCACCGAACGGUUUCAAUGCUUCUCUAUUUACGACACUAGUGGUUUCUGCUAAAGGAGGCGUCUCCCUCCCGAGUUCCGGAGUCGCAGAAACAGGGUUUCGACUGGUUUUGGCGUGGUCCGGAAGAGGAGGUCGGGAUCGUACAGGUUGCCGAUGCCGGACCGUCUGCGGCUCGGAACGGCGAUCAAGCACAACUCUUGCAGGUACAACUGUGGGUUCUUUUACUGGAGGGGCAGUCCACUUGCAAUUGAUGCAUUUCUCAGUUUGACAGCCCAAGAUGUGCGAAGAUGAUAAUUGGUCGAUUGCAAUGUUUUCUAAGAAAUGGAAUUACAUAUAUUUAUCGCGAAAUUCAGAGAAUUAACAACAAAGGUGAGAAUUAUUACUUGUCAAACUUUGUUUCCUCAAGUUCCAGAGUCAUAACAAGAAUCUAACAAGAAAAGGAAGGAAAGUUGAGGAUAUAUCAAAGAUUUGUGAGGUACUUCUCAUGACUUUUUGAUAAAAGAUUCAAAAGUAACUCAAGCUUGGUCUUAAAUAACUUUAAUAAUGUUGUUUUAUCUAUCAAGGCAAUCAGAUUAAGGAGCAUUUAUUUGUCUUCCCUGUUAAAUCUUUUUCCUCUGCCACUGUGUUGGAUUUGUUUUCUCCCAAUUUUCUUACUCAAAAUGUGCAUGAUUAGUGAUUAGAUUGUCAUAUUACUUCUUGAAUCAUGGAUGAUUUUUCCUGCAUUAUUAAUAAGCAGAAGCUGUUCCUGUGGUUAGCUAUUCAGAUUCCCUUGCUUGAUCUACUCCAAAUUUAACUAAAACAAGAAUUGUUUAUGAGCUUAUUGUCUUCUGCAUUGUUCAAUGUAUAAAAGAGCCAAUUACUAAAACUUCUUUUGCGGUGGCCUUACCAGGUGUUAUCAAGAUCUAUAAAGCUGUUAGAUUGGCUAAUUAUGGUCACUGUCAUGGAGUCUAUCUUGUAUGAGUAUGCUAGUUCCGGCUUGGUUGAUUAUUUCAGAUCUGAUUUAAGGAGAAAAUCUUUGGGGAAAUGUAAUCCAUGUAGGUCGUUAUAGAUACCGUAGUUACUCCAAGAUGUUAGGACAUCAUGUAAGAAUUGCAAACUGUUUAGCAGUUGAAACAAACAGAAAACAGUAUCUAUGUUUCGACGACCUCUACUGCUAAUUUUGUUGUUCAUGUGGUUCAUUUUGCAUUUCAAUGACUUCAAAUAUUUUCUUUUGGGGUGUUGUCCCCCGUUACUAUUAAUAUGAUAGACAAUUACUUAUAUAUACCCUGUUGGUAUUGUUGUUGAUGUUGUCAUCAUAAACUUGAAUAAGCUAAAUUUGUGCUGCUAUUUUUAAGUGCUGUUAUGCAUUUGUUUCAUAUUCACAUUAUCAUGCUUUAUGUUUCAUCUUAUGCAAUUUAUAGAAUGCAACCUUUACUGUCUUCAUCUGAUGUGCCUCAUUUAUUGUAUAUUUAGUCUUCUUAUAUCACUCCUGCCCUUUAGUUAGAUGGAGGACAAUGUCUAUUGUUGCAAUUGUUCCCACUGCUCUGACGGCAAUUGGGGUUAUGAUCUUAUAAACCUUUCCUCCUUGUGCAUCCAACCUCUAUGUCAUCUCCUGCAUAACAGCAAGGGAAGCUUUUCAGGCUGAAACAGCUAUUUGCAAGAUGUGUCCAUGGCAGCUUAUGAUUUUACAACAGCUAUGCUCAUACAACAAUCAAGAACAGAUACAGGUUAUGAUUUUACUAUAAUCAUAAACACAGUAAUGCAUGCCCGAAAGAUUAUCUUCCCAAAUACUUUUUGUCUUAAGUAAACAUGUUCUACAAACUUGUUUGAUUAACUUGAAUCCCUCUGCACAGGUUUCCAGUUUUGUUAUCAGUCUCUGCUUUUUGAGCAUAGUGAACAAGUUUGGCAAAAGUAUGCCUUCUUGCAGUUCUUGUACAUAUCUGGCAAUUCGUGGAGACUAAGCGCCGGUCUUUGAAAGAGAUCGAGAGUGCUCUUAUUGCAGCAGGUUGAUAUAAGAUUACCCAAAUCAUUCUGCCAAUGAGAAAUUUGUCCUUUUGGUUUUUCAAAAGCUUGGGCACAUCGAGGAUAAUGUAGUCCUGACUCAAGUAAUUCAAACCUGAUGGCCCUCAAAACUUUAGAGAGGGAGAGAGAGAACUUGGCAUUUGUUCUAAUUGAAAGUCUUAUUCUCAGUCAUAAGGUUUAUUGCAGUAAUGUGAACUGAAUGUUUAGUCUGUCCCAAAGACAUGGAUUGGACUCAAUCUUCAAGUUUCAAACUGCAGUUUGAUUGAAACUGUGAGCUUGCAAGCUUUGUCUGCACAUCAGAAUGUAUAGCAGCUACUGCUACUUUUGUUGUC